rnacentral:rRNA from 1 species
UACGUAGGGUGCGAGCGUUGUCCGGAAUUAUUGGGCGUAAAGAGCUUGUAGGCGGUCUGUCGCGUCUGCUGUGAAAAUCCGGGGCUCAACCCCGGACUUGCAGUGGGUACGGGCAGACUAGAGUGUGGUAGGGGAGACUGGAAUUCCUGGUGUAGCGGUGAAAUGCGCAGAUAUCGGGAGGAACACCAAUGGCGAAGGCAGCUCGCUGGGACGGUACUGACGCUGAGACGCGAAAGCGUGGGGAGCAAACAGG